rnacentral:rRNA from 1 species
UACGUAGGGUGCAAGCGUUUAAUCGGAAUUAUGCUGGGCGUAAAGCGUGCGCAGGCGGCCAUUCAAGUCAGGGGGUGAAAGCCCAGAGCUCAACUCUGGAACUGCCCUUGAAACUGUAUGGCUUGAGGAUGAGAGAGGUGAGUGGAAUUCCCAGUGUAGAGGUGAAAUUCGUAGAUAUUGGGAAGAACACCGGUGGCGAAGGCGGCUCACUGGCUCAUUUCUGACGCUCAUGCACGACAGCGUGGGGAUCAAACAGG